GAAAGACGAUCAGGUUGAUAGGUUCGAGGUGGAAGUGCAGCAAUGCAUGCAGCUGACGAAUACUAAUCGGUCGAGGGCUUAUCCU
rnacentral:rRNA from 1 species